rnacentral:rRNA from 1 species
GAGUUUGAUCCUGGCUCAKAACGAACGCUGGCGGCRUGCUUAACACAUGCAAGUCGAACGUGAUUGAGAGCUUGCUCUCAUGAAAGUGGCGCACGGGUGAGUAACACGUGGAUAAUCUGCCUGGCGAUUCGGGAUAACACUUCGAAAGGGGUGCUAAUACCGGAUAAGCCCACGGACUCUUAGGGGUUUGCGGGAAAAGGGGGCCUCUGUAUAUGCUCCUGUCGCUAGAUGAGUCCGCGGCCCAUUAGCUAGUUGGUAGGGUAAUGGCCUACCAAGGCGACGAUGGGUAGCUGGUCUGARAGGAUGAUCASCCMCAYUGGAACUGARACACGGUCCAGACUCCUACGGGAGGCAGCAGUGGGGAAUCUUGCGCAAUGGGCGAAAGCCUGACGCAGCGACGCCGCGUGAGUGAUGAAGGCUUUCGGGUCGUAAAGCUCUGUCGAGGGGAAAGAAAUGUACRAGGGCUAAUAUCCUUUGUACUUGACGGUACCCCUAAAGGAAGCACCGGCUAACUCCGKGCCAGCASCCGCGGUAAUAC